rnacentral:rRNA from 1 species
CGCCAGACUCCUACGGGAGGCAGCAGUGGGGAAUAUUGCACAAUGGGGGAAACCCUGAUGCAGCGACGCCGCGUGAGUGAAGAAGUAUUUCGGUAUGUAAAGCUCUAUCAGCAGGGAAGAAAAUGACGGUACCUGACUAAGAAGCCCCGGCUAACUACGUGCCAGCAGCCGCGGUAAUACGUAGGGGGCAAGCGUUAUCCGGAUUUACUGGGUGUAAAGGGAGCGUAGACGGCAUGGCAAGUCAGAUGUGAAAGCCCGGGGCUCAACCCCGGGACUGCAUUUGAAACUGUCAGGCUGGAGUGCAGGAGAGGUAAGUGGAAUUCCUAGUGUAGCGGUGAAAUGCGUAGAUAUUAGGAGGAACACCAGUGGCGAAGGCGGCUUACUGGACUGUAACUGACGUUGAGGCUCGAAAGCGUGGGGAGCAAACAGGAUUAGAUACCCCGGUAUA